rnacentral:tRNA from 1 species
GGAUUUAGCUCAGUGGCAGAGCGCUUGCCUAGCAAGCGCAAGGCCCUGGGUUCGGUCCCCAGAUCCG